GUUUCCCUAGUGUAGUAGUUAUUACAUCUGCCUAACUCGUAGAAGGUUCUGGGUUCGAAACCCAGCUAAAACA